rnacentral:rRNA from 1 species
UACGGAGGGUGCGAGCGUUGUCCGGAAUCACUGGGCGUAAAGGGCGCGUAGGCGGCCUGAUAAGUAGGGGGUGAAAUCCUGCGGCUUAACCGCAGGGCUGCCUUCUAAACUGUCAGGCUGGAGCACAGUAGAGGCAGGUGGAAUUCCCGGUGUAGCGGUGGAAUGCGUAGAGAUCGGGAAGAACAUCAGUGGCGAAGGCGGCCUGCUGGGCUGUUGCUGACGCUGAGGCGCGACAGCGUGGGAGCAAACAGG